rnacentral:rRNA from 1 species
UACGGAGGGUGCAAGCGUUGUCCGGAUUUACUGGGCGUAAAGGGCGUGCAGGUGGCUUGUUAUGUCGGGUGUGAAAUCCCGCGGCUCAACCGCGGAACUGCGCUCGAAACUGGCGAGCUUGAGUGCGGAAGGGGGUGGUGGAAUUCCCGGUGUAGAGGUGAAAUUCGUAGAUAUCGGGAAGAAUACCGGUGGCGAAGGCGACCGCCUGGUCCGCAACUGACACUGAGACGCGAAAGCGUGGGGAGCAAACAGA